UGAGUACGAGAUGCUACGGCAUCGAAGCAGUCUAUGUCAUACUUCCAAGAAAAGCUUGCAAUGUCAUAAACAAAUAAUGCCUGUACCAUAACCGACACAGGUGGGUAGGUAGAGUAUACUAAGGGGCGCGAGAUAACUCUCUCUAAGGAACUCGGCAAAAUGACUCCGUAACUUCGGGAGAAGGAGUGCCUUAUUUUUAUAAGGUUGCAAUAACAAGAUCCAAGCAACUGUUUACCAAAAACACAGGUCUCCGCUAAGUCGUAAGACGAUGUAUGGGGGCUGACGCCUGCCCAGUGCCAGAAGGUUAAAGAAGUUGGUUAGCAUUAGCGAAGCUGAUAACUGAAGCCCUGGUGAACGGCGGCCGUAACGAUAACGGUCCUAAGGUAGCGAAAUUCCUUGUCGGGUAAGUUCCGACCCGCACGAAAGGCGUAAUGAUUUGGAUACUGUCUCGGAGAGGGGCUCGGUGAAAUAGACUUGUCUGUGAAGAUGCGGGCUACCUGCACCUGGACAGAAAGACCCUAUGUAGCUUUACUGUACUUGAGAUUGAAAUUGGACUUUAUCUGCGCAGUAUAGGUGGGAGACGUUGAAAAUAUUCUUGCGGGAAUAUUGGAGUCAUCAGUGAGAUACCACUCUUAUAAUGUUAGAUUUCUAACUUUGUAUCAUUAUCUGGUCAAAGAACAGUUUCAGGCGGGCAGUUUGACUGGGGCGGUCGCCUCCCAAACGGUAACGGAGGCGCACAAAGGUUUCCUCUGAACGUGUAGAAAUCGUAUCUAGAGUGUAAAGGCAUAAGGAAGCUUGACUGUGAGACCUACAAGUCGAGCAGGGACGAAAGUCGGUCUUAGUGAUCUGACGGUGCUGAGUGGAAAGGCCGUCACUCAACGGAUAAAAGUUACUCUAGGAUAACAGGCUGAUCUCCCCCAAGAGUUCACAUCGACGGGGAGGUUUGGCACCUCGAUGUCGGCUCAUCGCAUCCUGGGGCGGUAGUACGUCCCAAGGGUUGGGCUGUUCGCCCAUGAAAGCGGUACGCGAGCUGGGUUCAGAACGUCGUGAGACAGUUCGGUCCAUAUCCGGUGUAGGCGUUAGAAUAUUGAGAGGAGCCUUCUUUAGUACGAGAGGACCGAGAAGGACAUACCUCUGGUGUACCAGUUAUCGUGCCAACGGUAAACGCUGGGUAGCCAUGUAUGGAGAGGAUAACCGCUGAAAGCAUCUAAGUGGGAAGCCCACCUCAAGAUAAGUAUUCUC
rnacentral:rRNA from 1 species